AGAGUUUGAUCCUGGCUCAGAACGAACGCUGGCGGCAGGCCUAACACAUGCAAGUCGAGCGCCCGCAAGGGAGCGGCAGACGGGUGAGUAACGCGUGGGAACGUGCCCUUUGGUUCGGAAUAUUCCCGGGAAACUGGGAGCAAAACCGGAUAAGCCCUUCGGGGGAAAGUUUACGCCAAAGGAUCGGCCCGCGUUAGAUUAGGUAGUUGGUGGGGUAACGGCCUACCAAGCCUACGAUCUAUAGCUGAUCUGAGAGGAUGAUCAGCCACACUGGGACUGAGACACGGCCCAGACUCCUGCGGGAGGCAGCAGUGGGGAAUCUUGGACAAUGGGCGCAAGCCUGAUCCAGCCAUGCCGCGUGGAUGACUGAAGGCCCUAGGGUUGUAAAGUCCUUUCGACGGGGACGAUAAUGACGGUACCCGUAGAAGAAGCCCCGGCUAACUUCGUGCCAGCAGCCGCGGUAAUACGAAGGGGGCUAGCGUUGUUCGGAUUUACUGGGCGUAAAGGGCGCGUAGGCGGAUUUUUAAGUCGGGGGUGAAAUCCCGGAGCUCAACUCCGGAACUGCCUUCGAUACUGGAAGUCUGGAGCACGGUAGAGGUGAGUGGAAUUCCGAGUGUAGAGGUGAAAUUCGUAGAUAUUCGGAGGAACACCAGUGGCGAAGGCGGCUCACUGGACCGUUGCUGACGCUGAGGCGCGAAAGCGUGGGGAGCAAACAGGAUUAGAUACCCUGGUAGUCC
rnacentral:rRNA from 1 species